rnacentral:rRNA from 1 species
AUGACGGGUGAGUAAUGCCUAGGAAUCUGCCUGGUAGUGGGGGACAACGUCUCGAAAGGGACGCUAAUACCGCAUACGUCCUACGGGAGAAAGUGGGGGACUUCGGACCUCACGCUAUCAGAUGAGCCUAGGUCGAUUAGCUAGUUGGUGAGGAAUGGCUCACCAACUGAGAGGAUGAUCAGUCACACUGGAACUGAGACACGUCCAGAUCCUACGGGAGCAGCAGUGGGGAAUAUUGGACAUGGGCGCCUGAUCCAGCCAUGCCGCGUGUGUGAAGAAGGUCUUCGGAUUGUAAAGCACUUUAAGUUGGGAGGAAGGGCAUUCCGACAGAAUAAGCACCGGCUACUCUGUGCCAGCAGCCGCGGUAAUACAGAGGGUGCAAGCUUAAUCGGAAUUACUGGGCGUAAAGCGCGCGUAGGUGGUUUGUUAAGUUGAAUCCGGGCUCAACCUGGGAACUGCAUCCAAAACUGGCAAGCUAGAGUAGGCAGAGGGUGGGGAAUUUCCUGUGAGCGGUGAAAUGCGUAGUAUAGGAAGGAACACCAGUGGCGAAGGCGACCACCUGGGCUAUACUGACACUAGGUGCGAAAGCGUGGGGAGAAACAGGAUUAGAGGUAGUCCACGCCGUAAACGAUGUCAACUAGCCGUUGGGAGUCUUGAACUCUUAGUGGCG